UUUCCGUAGGUGAACCUGCGGAAGGAUCAUUAUCGUACAAAAUGUGAGGGGCAUGCGAGGGCUGUCGCUGACCCAAAAGUCUUGCACGCCCGAGUGUGUCCUCUUGCAUAAUAAUCCAUCUCACCCUUUGUGCAUCACCGCGUGGGCACCCUUCGGGAUCAUCUCGGAGGGGGGCUCGCGUUUUCACACAAACCCCCCUUUUAAAAGUGUAGAAUGACCACAUUUAUGCAAUCAAUACAACUUUCAACAACGGAUCUCUUGGCUCUC
rnacentral:misc_RNA from 1 species